CCCACAAGAUAAUUUGGGGUAGUUUGUAGGAAUUUGUGUAACUGGUGUUCUGUGAGGUGGGUGCACUAUAUUUAAGUGAGGGCGGGCCCAACGGCACCAGAGGUGAAAGUGUCAUUGCGCCGUCAGAGGGGGCACCAAAUGUUUGCUUUGCACAGGGCACCUGCUGGGGAUUGUUUCAUUUGCAAAACAUUUGCUUCAACAGUACUUCUAGGAUUACCAGAGUGAGCCUAGCCCCUGCUCUGCUGUGCUGGAGGCAGUUCAGAUGGCAUGGAAGAAGCCCAGCUGGCAAGGAACAUCCCAACACUCUUAUCCAAAUGGUGGGUGGAAAUGUCCACCAGUGACAUCCCUGCUGGUUGUAGCAUUUUAAAGGUGGGGAGGGGCUGGGCUGGGCUGGUUCAGCAGGAUCCUCAGCAGACUCUGCUGCUAGGAAUGGGCCCAAUCCAGGCAUCUCCACUGCACCAGCCUGCAAUACAUUUUCCCUCCCCCCUUACUCUACCACCUUCCAUUGUGACUGGCACUAGGUCUGUGCUCUGAAUGCAGCACUGACUGCCAUUUCAUAAUUCACUACCAUGGCUGGCCAAGAUGACUUCUUCAGCAAUAUUUGGGGCAGUGUGCCUUCCAAAUUAUUUCUUUACUGUGUGUAUGUGUAUAUAUAUAUAUAUAUAUAUAUAUAUAUGUGUGUGUGUGUGUAUAUAUAUAUAUAUAUAUAUAUAAUGUGUUUCAUUAACAUGGUAUGCUUUAUUCAGUUUCGGGGGGGGGUGUAACAUAGAUAGCAUAUUAAAGAAAGUGAAUAUUAUCUCAUUCUCAAGGAUGGGUGAUGUGUGAUCCUCUACAACUCCCAACCUCCCUGUUCAUUAGCCAUGCUAAUAACUGGCCACAGGUUCUCCAUCUCCCGAGUAUAGUACUGAGGUAUGGCUCCUAUCUUUAUUGUGUGGGUAUUUUGCAUGUGACAUGUCACAUUGUUUGCAGUUGUGUUGUUGUUUUCUGAUUGAGCUAGCGACCAUGCAUGGCAUUAUGGGAGGUGAGGAUUAAUCCUUUACCCCUGUGAGAACCUGAUUGCAAUUGUGUACACACACACACACGUGGGAUGGAGGAGAAAUACGAUCCAUCUGCAUUUAAAGGCGAAUGUAUGAAAUCUGCUCUUAUGUGAACUGAAAAACAGCUAUCUUUCAAAUUUUGCACUUAUUUGAAUUUUGUAACACACUUUUCCAACCAGUGUCUGAAAAAUGUAUUUAGUGGGGAAAACUGCAUUAAAAUAACUUUGUUAGUGAAAAUAACAUACAAAAAUCCAUUAUAUUAUGGGAAAUUGCUUGCUAUCUCUCUCUUGCUCUCUCUUUUCUUUCUUGCUUCUUUUUCUUUUUUAUCUCUCACUUUUUCCUUUCUCUUGUUUCUUUGAGUCAUACGUUUGGGGGUCUUUGUUAAGGUCUAAGGACUGUGCUCAUGGGGGUGGUAGAUAGUUGAUGGAAAGUGAGAGGCUGGGAGGAGAAAGGAAGGAUUCCAGCUGAGAGCUGGGAAGGGCUGCUACCAUCAGUGGGUGGUAGGGGCCAAGUAUUGCCUUUAGGAGAGGACUCCAUAUUUUACUGGUUCUCUUUGUAUAUUUUGUAGCUCAUAUCUUAUUGCAUUGUGAAAAACUUUAAUAAGAAUCUUAUUUCUUUUAAGGAAUUUGCUUGCAAAAAUGUGUACAUCAUAAAAACACGUAAAAUGCGUUUAUUAGGAGAAAUUUGUAUGAAAGUGCUGAUGAAUAUUCAUGAGGGUUUUUCAAUUUACAAAAUUUGCAACUUGCUGCAAGAUGUGGAAAACUGAAUUUAAGAUUGGAAAAAUGAGAAACUGGGAGAUCUGCAACCGACAGAUCCUUUCAUUCUUAAUGUGUGCACACCUGCUAUUUGCUAUGGAAUAAAAGCUCAUACUGGUGCCCAUGGGGGGGGGAAGCCAACAGCAGUCAAGAGAGCAGGGUGCUGCUGCUGCUCGUGCUGUCGAUUUCAGUUUUGACCAUGGAUGGAGCAAAGGGUUAAAGAUCUUUCCACAAGCUCUGUGCCAGUUUAAACCCCCUCCCCCCAUCCUUCACUAUUUCUUAACCAGGAAGCUGUGCAGUCCAUUUCUUUUAUUUAAUGAAACAUUGUAUGCCACCUGCUCAAAUCUAAGACCUGUAUGUGGUCUACAAAAACAAAUGUUAAAAACAAUUUGCAUGUUUUUUAAAAAUAUAUAAAAUCUGUAAUUUAAAAACAAUUAUACUUACUAAAAUAACAUAUUUUAAAUUGUAUGCUAAAAUUACAUGGCUGCUAAAAUUCCUUGCCUGGGUAGGCUGGCUGGCACGCACACACACUCUCGCACACAAAAAAAAAGUAUGAACUAAAGACAAUACAGUGAAGGUGUAAUGAAAGCUACCGUAUUUUUCGCUCUAUAACACGCUCCCAACCAUAACACACACAUAGUUUUUAGAGGAGGAAAACAAGAACAAAAAUAUUCGAAACGAAACAGUGGAUGUAUGAUUUUUGUGGUUCAUGCUGUGGCCACAGACAUGUGAUCUGACAGUGAGUUUGGGGUAGCCCAAUGCAAAAAUCCCGAGGAUCCAUGUGGAUCCGUGCUUUGUAACCACGUUUUUGCACCACUGCGGCCCCAGGCAACAGUGGGUGCGUGAUUUUUUUGGUGCAAGCUGUAGCCAUGGACAUGCUAUGUGAUCUGAUGGUGAAUUUGGGGUGACCCAGUGCAAAAAUCCUGAGGAUCCAUGUGGAUCCGUGCUUUGUAACCAUGUUUUAAGUGGGGAGGGAAGGAAAAGCACUCAAGGGACAAGGAACACGCAUGGGGUGGGUGGAGAAGGAUGCUGUUAAUAAUGCAGAAGAGGGGUAUAAGAGGAGAAGGCUCUUAUAAGAGGAGUGGGGAGGAGAGAGAGACAGAGAGUCUGCUUGCGAAAAUCUUUGCUGCUAUUUAGCAAGUGGGGAGGAGAGAGAGACAGAGAGCCUGCUUGCGAAAAACUUUGCUGCUAUUUAGCGAGUGGGGAGGAGAGAGGGACAGAGAGCCUGCUUGCUUUAAAGGAGCCAACCGAACAGGAGCUGCUUACACUCGUGUAAGCGGCUCCUCUCCUCUCCUCUCCCGCUUUGCUCCUUUAAAGCAAGCAGGCUCACUGUCUCUCUCUCCUCCUCAGUCAGCGGCUCUUCUCCCGCUUUGCUGUUUCAAAGUGAGCCACGGAGGAGGGAAGGAAGGGGAACCAUGGAUCCUCUGCUCACGACUGCAGCAGAUCCCCCUGCCAUCCGUAGGCAUUCGCUCCAUAACACGCACAGACAUUUCCCCUUACUUUCUAGGAGGAAAGAAGUGAGUGUUAUGGUGUGAAAAAUACGGUAUUUGAUAAAAGUCAUAUUUAGUUUGACUCUAAGUUGAAUGUAACUUUCUCCCCUGCAAGUAUAAAUAAGAUAUGCAUCUUUACUUUAAAGCAAGUCUCAGUGUUUGGUGGAGUUUUUUUACCAGGUAAUCUUCAAUGCAAUCCCGUAAAAUCUACAAAGAUAAGUCCCAUUGAGUUUAAUGGGGCUUAUUUCCUAGUAAAUGGGUUUGGGAUUGCAGUCUAGAUAUAUAUAGGAGUGCCGCCUUAAUGUAGGAUUGUUCCCUGUUGGCUCGCCAAAAUAAAGCACUCAUGAGAUUCGGCUGAUCUUAAAAGUGCUUAAUCUGGGCAAUAUUUGCAUUUUAGUGGGGUUAUGCGGGAUUAGUUUCAUUUUGCAGUAUUCUAGUUAUACUACCAGCUGUCAACUAUUAGCAGAACUAUAUAGUUUCAUUAGGUGUGAUAAUAAACCCCUGGGUAGAAGUAGCAGUGCUGUUACCUUCUAGCCGCCAUAAUCAAAGCAAUGCUUAAUAUUUCCCAGUGCAAACACUGUGCAAAAAGUAUAACUUUGGCCCUGGGCUAGGCUUUCUGUGUAUGUGGAUAUUAAUAGAAUCUACAGUAACAGAAUAUAAAUUUUGGGGCUAUACCAGCAGCUUGUUCUUGAUAAUAUUAUUGAAUAUGAGUUAGACUUUUGACUGCUGUGGGAUUUGCAACCCUGUAAUAACCCUGGAACUACUGCCUUUGGGAUUCUAAGGGUCCAAAGCUUGAUCAUAUUUAUAACUAUGUCACCUCUGCGCUGCCACUGCUCUGGGCAUUCAUUGACUGUGGAACAAACUGGAUGUGACAAAAAUAUGUCUUUGCAUCUAACUUGCAGGGUUUUGCCCCCCCCCCCAAUUGCACCAUGGGGUGGGGGUGGCUAACAAAUAACAGAACCAGGGUCAUCAUGAAGAAGGAGUUUAACUCUUUCCCCCCAUGCUGCGAUCUGGAGGAAAAUCUCUUCUCUGAAGGUGCGUGAUUCCUCAAUAAAGCCAAGAGCAGAUUCUUCUCCCCACAAUACAAGCUUCAGAAAAAUGAUUUUCCUCAGAGAAGGACAGGCUUAAAUUCCCUCUCCAGGCUUACUACAAUCCCAUUCAUUCUCUCUCUCUCUCUCUCUCUGUGUGUGUCUCUCACACACACUCCAAUGAUGCAGUUUGCCUUUUAAAAAUGCUGUCAUGCAUGUGCAUUUUAUCACUUUUAUAUCCUUCUGUUUUCAAAGUGAUUUACAGUGCAAGCCUAUAAUGUCUACUCAGAAGUAAGCCCUAUUGAGUUCUACAGGGCUUAUUCCCAGAUAAAUGCAUCUAUGAAUGCAGCUUUGGUGUUGGUAAAUGUUUCAAAUGGCUAUUGGUUUAGUUGGAAGCACGUUCUAGAAUAGGUGGCUAAGAAAAUGAGUAACUUGCAGUGUGCUGGACUUGGAACACAUGAGUAUGAAAUCAUGUGGUAAUAUAAAUUAACAGAUAUCUACACAUAAAGAGAAGCAGCUGGACUUUUGCGAGCCAUGAGGAAUGUACAGCGGUUCCACAAGUAUGACCUCCUUCACCUGUGUCAGGGGAAGGGCUGGGUGGUCACGCAUGGAACAGAGGGAGGGAGGGGAGAAUCCUACGCUGUCUGGACUAUGGCUCACUAGUUUUAAAAGUUGCGAAACAAAGAAAAAACAGCAACAACCCACCCCCAUAACCAUCACAUUGGUUCCUUUAUAAAUUCAAAUUAAGGUUCCUUCCUUUGGGGCAUACUUUAUCAGGAAGCUACUAUAUCUUUUUUCUACUGAAUACACGUCAGUCUUUGAUGACUGUAAAGGGUUAUGGACUCGUUUACCACAUUUCACAAACUCCUGUCUGGUGACUGGAUGCAACAGACAAAGCAGAGAGGAAGAGCCUUUCAGUAUUAGCUUACCUACAUGGUUGUUUGUCAUAAUGAAAAAAGGUUGCCAUGCCAACAUGAAGCACAAUGCUGCCACUCCUUUAAGUUCUCCCCUCUCCUGAACUCUUGCCCACACAUUUGUUCACGUUGAAUAGUGAGUACUAGUCAUAAUAGCUGUAAUUACCUCCAGUACUAGACCCAGUGUGCCUCUGAAUGUCAGUUGGAGCAGAGCACAGGACAUAAAGCAACGUGCUCAUGUCCUGCUUCCCAUAGACAUCUAAUUGGCUGCUGUCAGAGCAGAAUGCUGGACAGAAUAGACCUUUGGUCUUUUCCAGCAGCGCUUUUCUGACAAUUAGAUGCAUAUUUGCCUCCUUUCCCUUGUCAUUGCUAUGUCUUUUAAAAACACAACUUAUUAAAGAGCAGAGGCCGUCUUCUGGGAUAGUCUCUUUAGACCCAAGACUGCCCUUUUAAGGCCAACCUGACUUGGGGUCUGAUUUUCUACUUUCUACCCACCGUUCUCUUAACUUUUUUUUUGUAAUAUAACAUAUACAACACAACACAUAUCACAUCACAUCACAUAAAACAUAACAUAAGAUAACAUGGUGAUGGUGCUAUCUGAACAACAACUCUUAGGUAACAGUAUAAUGAUAAUCCACCAGCUGAGGACCAAUGUUCUAGGAGAAAUCUGGUCCAGUGGACAUGAAGUGUUCAGAAGAAACUGCUUGAACAGGUCUUCCAGCACAGAACACACAACUAUAUUACUUCCAUGGAUAUGAAAACCAAUUGAAAAAGGAACCACCUAUAACCUUAUUGUUGUAAAAUUGGGUAAAAUUUGCAGGCAUGAAAUUCAGAAUGCAUGAAUGCUGCUAAAUUUCAGAAGUAUAGCAGAAGUAGUUUUCCUGUUAAGGACACAUUUACAGUUUGAGUUGCUUAAAAAGGGAUUCACUUAUUCUGCCCUAUUGUUUCAUGGGCAAUUUGUAGGAAAAAAUAAAGCAUGAGAGAAGUCCCCUUGACUCAGAAAUCUGCCAAAUUAUGGACUUUUUUUUUAAUGUGCUAGGCAUCUUUAAAGUUGAUUUGUGGGGAGGGGGAGAACUUAUAGUUUUGAGGGCAACAAUUUUAUUAUGAAAAGGACAUGCAGCAAAGAGUUCCUUUGGAAAGUAGGAAGGAUGCGUGCAGGGACUAGGGAGUUAUAAUGAAUGGGAGGGAAAGAGCUUCAAGCUCCUAUUCUGCGCAGCUGGCACCAGAAGUCACAGAAAUCAAGUGCAGAGUUGAUUUCACAGACAUGAAUGUAUGGGCAUAUGUCACAGAGGCAGAAGAACUUGGAUGCCCCUCAUUUUCCAAGUGUGCAUAACUAGCAGAACUGACAAAGAGAACAGAAAAGUCAAGAAUAAGGUGAUAAAUUACUUCAGCAUCCCUUUCCCCUUUAACAGAACCCAGGACUGUCUGUCACAAAAGAGUUCUCCCUGCCUUCUUUCCCCACCCUAGUGUAUAUAGCAAGCUUGGGGGAGAAUUCAGUUUUUGCAAACCUGCCAUCUGCAGGGGCUUUUAAAGAUCUGAAUCACCCUGGAGCCGUUCAGAAAUUCUGGAAUCAGUGCAGCAUGCUUCAGAGAGAUUCUGCUUCUGCUCAGAAAAACCACAUAUUUGUUCAAAAUGGCCCUGCUCCAGUUCUUGAUGUGGGAUUUGUCCAAAUCUUUUGUAAACCCAUAAUAUAUCAUGCAACAAAGUGGCUACCUGCAUUUUGCAACUCUUUUUGACAGCAUAGAUCUGGACUUCAAUAAUGUUACCACCACACCACUGAUGUCCAUGCCCAACUUCGGAAUCACCUUCAUGUGGAAGACCAUCUGGCUCCUUCACAUUUUCAGUGUGCCAUGAAGAUGAUGUUGUUUAAAUAGGUUUCUAAGGGUAUGUUGAAUAUACCUGGAUGCUGCUGAUUCCAAUGUUCUCUCUGCAAUAUCUGCUCAUUAGGAUUUCUACUGUUUUUAUUAUUAUAUUUUUUCACUGUUGUGAUAUUUUACUGCAUCUCAUUUUUUAAAUAUUCUGUUUGCAACCUUGGAUGCCUAAAUGACAGAAAGGCAAGAUGGAAAUAUUUUAAUCAACUGAAUGAGUGAAUAAACAAACAAACA
rnacentral:lncRNA from 1 species